rnacentral:rRNA from 1 species
UACGUAGGGUGCGAGCGUUAAUCGGAAUUACUGGGCGUAAAGCGUGCGCAGGCGGUGAUGUAAGACAGUUGUGAAAUCCCCGGGCUCAACCUGGGAACUGCAUCUGUGACUGCAUCGCUGGAGUGCGGCAGAGGGGGAUGGAAUUCCGCGUGUAGCAGUGAAAUGCGUAGAUAUGCGGAGGAACACCGAUGGCGAAGGCAGCUUGCUGGGACGGUACUGACGCUGAGGCGCGAAAGCGUGGGGAGCAAACAGG